rnacentral:rRNA from 1 species
UACGUAGGCAGCGAGCGUUGUUCGGAAUUACUGGGCGUAAAGAGUGUGUAGGCGGUGUUCCCAGUCUGUUGUGAAAUCUCCCGGCUUAACUGGGAGGGUGCAGCGGAAACUAGAAUGCUAGAGGGUGGGAGAGGUAAGCGGAAUUCCUGGUGUAGCGGUGAAAUGCGUAGAUAUCAGGAGGAACACCUGUGGCGAAAGCGGCGCACUGGACCACAACUGACGCUGAGGCGCGAAAGCGUGGGGAGCAAAAGGG